AUAAUUUUAAAUUAUAGUGUUAAUUUAGUUGCAGUUACUAAUGUGAGAAAAUAAGUACAUCUAUAUACUUUUGCUCAGCCUGUAUAGCUGUUUUAAUAAAAAAAAAUUAUAUUAUAACUCAGAUAAAAAAUUAUUUUAACCGCUUUCCCGUCAAAAUAAUACUAAUAGAAAUUUAUUAUUAUUUAGAUAAAAAUUAAUUUGGGCCGCCUUCCUCUCAAACACGAUACUAAUCAAGAAUCAUUUAUGACAAAAUUAUAAUCAUAAUUGAAUAAAUAUAUCCAAUUUCAUAGAUUUUAGCUAUUAUAUUUUUCUUUAAGAUUCCUAUAUCUUAAUUGUUUAGAAUUAUCUCUCUUUUCUUUUAGGAUUUUUAUUUCUUAACUACUUAGAAUUUCAUAGAUUUUAGUUAUUAUAUUUUGGUUAAAAUUCUAAUUUUUUAACUACAUAGAAUUAUAUAUCUUUUACUAUUACUAUUUUUUAGCUACCUUUUCUAGAGACUACACGUAACCUCCCCCGUAUCCUCUCAAGAAUCAUCUACAUUAUGAUAAAAUUAUAAUUAUAAUUUGAUAGAUAUAUCCAUUUUCAUAGAUUUUAUUUUUUUAAUUAUUUAGAAUUAUCUUUCUUUUCUUUUAAGAUUCUUAUUUGUUAACUACUUAGAAUUUCACAAAUUUUAGCUAUUAUAUUUUUGUUAAGAUUCCCAUUUCUUAACUACUUAGAAUUAUAUAUCUUUUACGAUUACUAUUUUUUAGCUAUUUUAUCUAUUUUCUCUUAAAAAAUUAAAUGAAGAAUUUCUAGAGCGCCACCUAACCGCCCUGCAUCCUCCUUUAUUGAUGAUUGAUUGAUUGAUUGAUGACAUCUAUGAGGGAGCAUAAUUGUUUAAACUAAGCCUCAAUAAAAUAUUUGUUAAUUCUUCAAAAAAAUUGAAUUUUUUAUAAUAAAAUAAGGCUAUAAAUUUUAUAACUUUUGAAAAUAAAAACUGUAUUUUUUAAUUAUAUUUGUUCUAAGAUCAUUAUUUUGAAUAAAUAAAAUCUUACUCCUUUUAUGAUUCUCAAAUAAGAAAAAGAAAUAUAUUAGUUUUACAAUCUUCGAACAUGAAUUUUAGAUUAUAAUUUUAAUUUUUAUUUGAAAUUUAAGAUAUUUAUACGACAAAAAUCGAACAAUUCUAGACACGACACGUCAUAUAUUUCGG
rnacentral:lncRNA from 1 species